rnacentral:rRNA from 1 species
AUUGAACGCUGGCGGCAGGCCUAACACAUGCAAGUCGCGCGGAUGAAGGGAGCUUGCUCCUGGAUUCAGCGGCGGACUGGUUAGUAAUGCCUAGGAAUCUGCCUGUUUGUGUUUGAUAACGUCCUGAAACGGGCGCUAAUACCCCAUACGUCCUGAGGGCGUAAGUGUGGGAUCUUCGGACCUCACGCUCUCAGAUGAUCCUAUGUCGGAUUAGCUAGUUGGCGGGGUAAAGGCCUACCAAGGCGACGAUCCGUAACUGGUCUGAGAGGAUGAUCAGUCACACUGGAACUGAGACACGGUCCAGACUCCUACGGGAGGCAGCAGUGGGGAAUAUUGGACAAUGGGCGAAAGCCUGAUCCAGCCAUGCCGCGUGCGUGAAGAAGGUCUUCGGAUUGUAAAGCACUUUAAGUUGGGAGGAAGAGCAGUAAGUUAAUACCUUGCUGUUUUGACGGUACCAAAAGAAUAAGCACCGGCUAACUUCGUG